rnacentral:rRNA from 1 species
UAGGGAAUCUUCCGCAAUGGACGAAAGUCUGACGGAGCAACGCCGCGUGAGUGAAGAAGGAUUUCGGUUCGUAAAGCUCUGUUGUUAAGGAAGAACGAGUGUGAGAAUGGAAAGUUCAUGCUGUGACGGUACUUAACCAGAAAGGGACGGCUAACUACGUGCCAGCAGCCGCGGUAAUACGUAGGUCCCGAGCGUUGUCCGGAUUUAUUGGGCGUAAAGCGAGCGCAGGCGGUUAGAAAAGUCUGAAGUGAAAGGCAGUGGCUCAACCAUUGUAGGCUUUGGAAACUGUUUAACUUGAGUGCAGAAGGGGAGAGUGGAAUUCCAUGUGUAGCGGUGAAAUGCGUAGAUAUAUGGAGGAACACCGGUGGCGAAAGCGGCUCUCUGGUCUGUAACUGACGCUGAGGCUCGAAAGCGUGGGGAGCGAACAGG